rnacentral:rRNA from 1 species
GACGAACGCUGGCGGCGUGCCUAACACAUGCAAGUCGAGCGAUGAAGCUUCUUCGGAAGUGGAUUAGCGGCGGACGGGUGAGUAACACGUGGGCAACCUGCCUCAUAGAGAGGGAUAGCCUUUCGAAAGGAAGAUUAAUACCUCAUAAGAUUGUAGUUUCGCAUGAAACGGCAAUAAAAGGAGUAAUCCGCUAUGAGAUGGGCCCGCGUCGCAUUAGCUAGUUGGUAAGGUAAUGGCUUACCAAGGCGACGAUGCGUAGCCGACCUGAGAGGGUGAUCGGCCACAUUGGGACUGAGACACGGCCCAGACUCCUACGGGAGGCAGCAGUGGGGAAUAUUGCACAAUGGGGGAAACCCUGAUGCAGCAACGCCGCGUGAGUGAUGAAGGUCUUCGGAUUGUAAAACUCUGUCUUUGGGGACGAUAAUGACGGUACCCAAGGAGGAAGCCACGGCUAACUACGUGCCAGCAGCCGCAGUAAGAC